rnacentral:rRNA from 1 species
UGCCAGCCGCCGCGGUAAUACGGAGGGUGCAAGCGUUAAUCGGAAUUACUGGGCGUAAAGCGCGCGUAGGCGGUUUUGUCAGUCAGAUGUGAAAGCCCCGGGCUUAACCUGGGAAUUGCAUCUGAUACUGCAAGACUAGAGUAUGUUAGAGGGAAGUGGAAUUCCGGGUGUAGCGGUGAAAUGCGUAGAUAUCCGGAGGAACACCAAUGGCGAAGGCAACUUCCUGGGACAAUACUGACGCUGAGGUGCGAAAGCGUGGGGAGCAAACAGGAUUAGAUA